rnacentral:rRNA from 1 species
GACGAACGCUGGCGGCGUGCUUAACACAUGCAAGUCGAGCGGUAAGGCCCUUUCGGGGGUACACGAGCGGCGAACGGGUGAGUAACACGUGGGUGACCUGCCCUCAGCUCUGGGAUAAGCCUGGGAAACCGGGUCUAAUACCGGAUAUGACUCCAUGACGCAUGUUGUGGGGUGGAAAGCCUUGUGCGGCUGAGGAUGGGCCCGCGGCCUAUCAGCUUGUUGGUGGGGGAUGGCCUACCAAGGCGACGACGGGUAGCCGGCCUGAGAGGGCGACCGGCCACACUGGGACUGAGACACGGCCCAGACUCCUACGGGAGGGCAGCAGUGGGGAAUCUUGCGCAAUGGGCGAAAGCCUGACGCAGCGACGCCGCGUGAGGGAUGACGGCCUGG